ensembl:lncRNA
AGGCUUUCGGCUAAGCACUUACCUAAUAACACAGAUCUCCAGGUGAUGCCAUUGCACCACCAAGGUGGAGAACCAGUGCCAGUCGCGGCUUUAGUUCGAGAAGCUUCACUACCUCCUCAUGAGGAGGAAGCAAGUCAGUGUCACUGAACUGCGUUCUGUCGCCCUUCACCCCACAGGACUCGGUUCGAGGUGGAUUCUUUACCAGCUGGGCCACAAGGGAUGCCCUGUUCAAGGCUGCUGUCCUCUAAAAGGUAAGC